rnacentral:misc_RNA from 1 species
UUCUCAAUUUGCAAAAAAAAAUUGAUUCACUUGAUUUAAGAUGAAAUAUCAAAUUGAAUUAGAGAACAAGAAUAAUUCAAUAAUACAUCGUAUAAUAUUGAAACCACAUGUCAACUCUGCACAUAGCUCAGAGACACUUUUUUCCUCUUCGUCCAUCGCUUUCGCGUUCGCUCGCUUACUAGCGCUUUAAUCUUCUCUUCUUACGGAACUUUCGACCUCUCGUUCGAUCGUCGAAUAACGCUAGUCACUUCAGUUUAUGCCCGACUCUGUCGUCGGUUGGAUCGGUGGAGGGAUCGCAGAAAGAGAUAGUGUGGUUGUUGGUCAAAGACGCGACGAGACGCGCGGACACGCGUUAUCUUCGCUGCAAGCACGCCGAGCAAUCGAAUCUGAUCAUCAUUGCAUAUCGAGGCGAAAAUCGUUAAAAAAUCUAAACAAUGACAAUCGCGGAGACCACAGAAUUGAAGAUGAAUUCUACGAGGGUUUCCAAUACCAUUGACGGGAUCCUCAAUCCCUUGAACAACAGGGAUCCGCAACAACUGGAACAGAUCUCCAAUUCUAGCCCGGAGGCAAACCCUCUACUGGAGUCCAAUCGAGCUGAUCAUUCAUCGAUGAAAAUUGACACUUCUACCAUGAAAUCGAAGAAAAUGGACAAGGAGGAGGAUGAUUGGGCAUCGAUGAACACCUCAAGAAGAGAUCCGGAAGUGAAUGAUUGUAACGCGAUUGUUCCGCCUGAUGGCGGUCUCAGAGCUUGGAUGAUUAUGAUAGGCAGUUUCAUUAUUAAUGGUGUUCUAUUCAGCGUCAUAAACACGUAUUCGUUGAUCUAUCUAGAAUUGCAGAAGAGAUUGUCAGAGUCUGGAGAAACGGGGGCGUCUUCGAAGGCGGCAUUGGUAGGAUCGUUAACUAUCGGUACAACGUUCUUUUUAUCGCCAAUUUCUGGCAUUCUCACCGAUAAAAUUGGGAUUCAGAUGACUACAUUUCUGGGUGGUGCUCUUGCAUCCAGUGGUAUGCUUCUAUCCUCGAUAUUUUCUAGCAAGGUGACAUUACUUUAUUUGACCUACGGAGUGAUGUACGGUCUCGGUGCAAGUCUUGCCUACACGCCUAGCCUAGCGAUCUUGGGCCAUUAUUUUAAGAGAUACUUGGGCUUGGUCAAUGGGAUCGUCACGGCUGGAAGCUCUAUAUUUACGACCCUUAUGCCGUACCUGAUUGAGGUCAUACUCCGACGUUUCGGUUUGGAAGGCACAUUGAGGUUCUUAGCUAUGCUCACGGCGAUCGUCAUGCCUUGUGCUAUACUUUUCAAGCCGAUUCCACUUAACUCGAUGCCAAAGGAUCAACUAAAAUCCAAAUCGAACUUCAAAAACUGUGUCAAGCAAGUGAUAAACGUCUCGAUAUGGAGGAAAAAACGUUACGUAGUGUGGGCUAGCUCCAUUCCCCUAGCUUUGUUCGGAUAUUUCGUCCCGUAUGUUCACAUAGGAAAAUUCGUGGCGACGGUGUUCAAGGACGCGGACGGGAAACUCCCGAUCAUGUGCAUCGGUAUCACUUCCGGUAUUGGUCGAUUACUCUUCGGUUAUAUCGCUGAUUUGCCAAGGGUAAACAGAAUAUUGUUGCAACAGAUAUCGUUUUUUAGCAUUGGUGUUCUCACAAUGCUCCUCCCUGUUACACCUUCGUUUAUAAUAUUGCUACUUAUUUCUUUGGUCAUGGGAUUAUUUGAUGGUUGCUUUAUAUCCCUUUUGGGCCCUAUUGCAUUCGAUAUAUGCGGUCGAGAAGGGGCGACACAAGCUAUAGGAUUUCUGUUAGGCAUGUGUUCUAUACCUUUGACUAUGGGGCCACCCAUAGCUGGUUUUCUAUAUGAUCAUACAGGUACCUAUGACCUGCCUUUUUACUUAGCCGGUAUUCCACCAAUAGCUGGAGCACUCACGAUGUUCCUGAUAAAAUUUGUAAAGGAUGAGGAGCAAAAUAGCGUUACCGCAAACACAGGGGAUAAAGCUGCUUGUCAGAAUGGUCGGUAAACAGGUAUUUGUACAUUAUUCACAUCUAACUAACAAAGUUUGUUUCUCCAUGUGGUAUCGAAACACGUGCGUGCGCGUCGGUUUAUAAACUGUUUUCACGAAGGCGGUUGAAACUUUCCACGGAAAGCUUUUCGGAUAAAAUAAAACACGAAUCCGUCUGCUGUCGAGGGGGACAGAGCACUUGGAUGCUCCAGUAUCACCUUUCUGUCUCCGUAUCUUGUCACUGGUCUCAAAUACGAGCAACUAAACUGGAAGGUGAUGUGUGGAGGCAUGCACGACCAGCACUCGUCGAAAUGUUAUGGAUAUCACGAGA